rnacentral:rRNA from 1 species
CUAUACAUGCAAGUCGAGCGAACAGAGAAGGAGCUUGCUCCUUUGACGUUAGCGGCGGACGGGUGAGUAACACGUGGGCAACCUACCUUAUAGUUUGGGAUAACUCCGGGAAACCGGGGCUAAUACCGAAUAAUCUAUUGUCCCUCAUGGGACAAUACUGAAAGACGGUUUCGGCUGUCGCUAUAGGAUGGGCCCGCGGCGCAUUAGCUAGUUGGUGAGGUAACGGCUCACCAAGGCGACGAUGCGUAGCCGACCUGAGAGGGUGAUCGGCCACACUGGGACUGAGACACGGCCCAGACUCCUACGGGAGGCAGCAGUAGGGAAUCUUCCACAAUGGGCGAAAGCCUGAUGGAGCAACGCCGCGUGAGUGAAGAAGGAUUUCGGUUCGUAAAACUCUGUUGUAAGGGAAGAACAAGUACAGUAGUAACUGGCUGUACCUUGACGGUACCUUAUUAGAAAGCCACGGCUAACUACGUGCCAGCAGCCGCGGUAAUACGUAGGUGGCAAGCGUUGUCCGGAAUUAUUGGGCGUAAAGCGCGCGCAGGUGGUUUCUUAAGUCUGAUGUGAAAGCCCACGGCUCAACCGUGGAGGGUCAUUGGAAACUGGGAGACUUGAGUGCAGAAGAGGAUAGUGGAAUUCCAAGUGUAGCGGUGAAAUGCGUAGAGAUUUGGAGGAACACCAGUGGCGAAGGCGACUAUCUGGUCUGUAACUGACACUGAGGCGCG